AUUACAAACUCUGUUGCAGGUGUAGCUGCUAUGUUACAUGUGCAUUAGUAGGUGGCAGAGAGCAGAGGGGCUAUGUCUACACUCAGUGUUCUGACCUGUGAACAUAUGAAUAAUUAAUUAGUAGUCUAACAUU
rfam:Mus musculus chromosome 6, GRC primary reference assembly.